rnacentral:rRNA from 1 species
UACGUAGGGUGCAAGCGUUUAAUCGGAAUUACUGGGCGUAAAGCGUGCGCAGGCGGUUGUGCAAGACCGACUGUGAAAUCCCCGGGCUCAACCUGGGAACUGCAUUUGUGACUGCAUAGCUAGAGUACGGUAGAGGGGGAUGGAAUUCCGCGUGUAGCAGUGAAAUGCGUAGAUAUGCGGAGGAACACCGAUGGCGAAGGCAAUCCCCGUGGACCUGUACUGACGCUGAUG